AACGAACGCUGGCGGCAUGCCUAACACAUGCAAGUCGAGCGAAACCUUCGGGUCUAGUCGCGCACGCGUGCGUAGCGGGUUGGGACAUGCCUUUGGAUUCGGCAUAACUCGCCGGAUGAGGUGCUAAUACCGGCUCUAGUCUUGCAUCCAUAGAUUUGACGCAUUUGGGUGGGCCCGAGUUGGAUUGGCUAGUUGGUAGGGUAAAAGCCUACAACGGCGACGAUACGUAACUGGGUAGAGAGGAUGAGCAGCGACACUGGGACUGAGCCACGGUCGAGACUCUUACGGGAGGGAGCAGUGGGGAAUACUGGACAACGGGCGAAAGCAAGAUCGAGCAAGGCCGGGUGAGUGAUGAAGGCCGGAGGGAUGUAAAGCUCGUUUACCCGUGAUGAUAAUGACAGUACCGGGAGAAUAAGCUCCGGCUAACUCCGUG
rnacentral:rRNA from 1 species